UAGCUGGUGCUAGGCAACUGCUAGAAUAUAGUCUUUCCUGAAGACAGCGAAGGAGUGGAUUAUCUAUGAAGGUAAGCACUGGCCUACAGGCCCAUGAGAGCUCUUCCUCCAGCAUAGCGCCUUUCCAGGGCAUUUACCACAUGCCACCUGUGUUUCAAAAGCAGGUGAUCAUGGAAUCCCCCAGAACAGAGGCUAUAUCCUACUUGUCUCUGUGUCCCCUGAAGCACACAUUAGAGUGCGAGGCACACAGUAGGCACUCACUAAAUUAUAAUGCAUAGAAUGAAAAGAUUUUCCUAGUUGCCCAUAUUUUCUGUGCAUAUACAGCCUAUCUUCAGAAGAAUAAGAGUUUAUAAGCUUCUGAAUAUGGAAUAUUUCACAUCAAAUUGUUGGAAAAUAUUUUCAAAGGAUUAAAGUUGUCUUCUCAAGGAACAGUUUCCAUUUUUUUAAGGCUCAACUUUAUUUCUGAACUGUGCUAUCAUAAAGCCAUGGUGACUACAUUAGGGGGACAAAGCCAAGUGACCACUGGAGAAAACAUAUCUUUGUGAUACUGAGCUGGUUACCUUAGUGAUUCCCCCUAGGUCUAUUCCAUUGUUUUACCAAAUGUCUAAUGACCACACUCCCAGCCAGAAGUACCUGUGGAUGUGCACACUGGUUGUUCUCCAUCCCAACCCUCCCCUUUGCUCUCUGCCUUAAGUGUUCUGCUCCCUGACCUCCAUGGUCUGCCCUCUGGCUUCAAAUUGGGUUGGCCAAUGAGAGGCACUGCCAAUAGGUACUUGGAUGGGAGGAGAGAGAAGUUACUGUAUUUCUCCUUCAUUUUCUCCUUGCUUUGGGUCCCUCCAUGACCAGUGCUCCUGCCUGAUGGCCCCUCCUCCAAGGCUCCAAAUCUCCCUGAGAUCCAUUUCCCUAUUUUACCCUCUUGCCUUUUCAAGCACAGGGUGGUAAAGACAUCCUGCGAUUGCUAAUCUCUAGGUGCCUGAACGUUCCUUGUUGGUUCCCUUAACUCCACCCACACCUCUCAAAGUGAUCAUCCCUUCAUUCAAGUCUUUUCAUCUGAACCAUCUGAGUUGCUUCUUUACCCUGCUGUUGCCCUGACUGAUACAGUCUACAAAAACCUUACCUAAGAGAUAUCUAUGCUGGCCAGGGCACUCUCCAAAUCAAAGAGUUCGAAAGAAAACCAGAGGUUCUUUUCUCUCUAGUUUUCAGAACUCCUUAACCACUUUGGUGCUAUUUAAAUUAAGUAAUACAAAAUGAUGGUAAACCCCAGUUUGCAGAUGAGAAGUCCGUAUUCAUUCAUUCAUUCAUCAAAUAUUUAUUGAGUAUGUGCCAGGCACUGUUCUGACCCUGGGAAAACAAUAAUGUACAAGAGAGACAUAUGCCCUGCCCACAUGGUGCUUAUAGUGUAAGGUCACUGUCUCUCAGAAGUCAGAGAGCUCAUCAGAGGCAGGGCUGGAACCAGAAAACUGAGUUUUCUUAAGUCCUCAUCAGAGGCAGGGCUGGAACCAGAAAACUGAGUUUUCUUAAGUCCUAACCUUCAGCAGAUUCUCAAAGGAAACCAUGACCCAAACAUGAUUAAGAACUGCCAAAUUAAGCCAAAUUAACUCUUAAGCUUCUCCCUUGAACAGGGCAAUAAUGACUACUCACUCCUAGAAGCUUGAUGCUCUUAACUUGAAUUUGCGGGAGCAUGUGGGCACACACCCAUGGUGACACCAUCACCCACCUUUCCUGCCCACUCUCCUCAAUUCUCCACAAAUCUGCCCCCGCCUCCAUUUCUCACACUUUUAUAAUUAGUCCCACACCAGUCUCUGAGUCACUCCCUCACGGCCCGCAAACGUUGGCUACGCAACUUGUUGAUGAGCUGUUUUUAUCAAUGGACAGCAGCUGGGAGCUGGAUUCAGAGAUGUGCCCUCUCCAGGAGCCUGGCAUUUCUGGCCCUCCCUGUGUUUCCAGCAAAGGCAGUGACAGUGAAAUUUCUGUUUCCAUUGAAGUAUUUAUGAGAUUCAUGUUGGAGGGCAUAACUAAAACUUUGCUGGGGAGAGCCAGGGGUCACUGAGGUGAAUUGAGGGGGGCCAUAAGGGUCUGCCUGCCUUCUUCAAGCCCUCCGGAAGCAUCUCUCCCAAAUUCCUGACCAAGAAGAAAUCAUGCAGCAAAUGGGGAGAAGUAGGGAAGAAACCAUUUUUCAAAGCGUCUCUGCUUUGAGCAACCAGAUGGAAGAGAGGAAAGUUGUGGCCAUCGUUUACCUGCUGAGAUUGGGAGGACGCUGUUGAUGAAAGUCGGCUGAGACACCACAGAGCGGAAAAAAAGCUGAAGAUAAAUUCCCAAAGUCAUUGGAUUCAGGAUAACCAUGCUGGCCAGGAUCUGACUGAGGCAAGUGGCUAGCGAAGAGGUGAUGAGAAGGCAGCCAAGUCUCAGAUGUUCACUGGAAGCAGUCCUCAAGGGCAGAGAGAUUCCUAAUUGGUCAUGCGUCACCAUCUACCUGCUUGGAACUGAGCAGAAACAACUCUCCUGAUUCAAACCGGACUUCAUGGAGACAACCCCUCUGCUGUCAACCUGUGACAUUUUUACCCACUGUGUAACAAAUGUAAAGUUGACUUUUAAUUUUUUUCUUUAAUUAUCCAAUAAAAAGGAGUAGGGAAGUAGUUUAUAUUUCCGAACAGCUUUCUCUGUGAAAAAGCGUUUCUCUCUUCAAAAGCUGCAACCUUAUGAUUCAAUGCAAAGCAAAAUAAAC